GACGUAGGUGGCGAACGUUAUCCGGAAUCAUUGGGCGUAAAGGGUGCGUAGAUGGCAUGAUAAGUUAUUAGUGGGAAAUCGAGGCUCAACCUCGUGGAAGCUGGUAAUACUGUUUUGCUUGAGUGCAGGAGAGGUUAACGGAACUCCAUGUGGAGCGGUAAAAUGCAUAGAUAUAUGGAAGAACAUCAAUAACGGCGAAGGCAGUUAACUAUUCUGCUACUGACAUUGAGGCACGAAAGCGUGGGGAGCAAAACGG
rnacentral:rRNA from 1 species